CCACCCCUCCUCAUCCGCUUAUUCCUCUUCCUCCUUCCUCCUUCGCCCUCCUCAUCCGCUUCUUCCUCUUCCUCCUCGUCCGCCCUCGAGAUCUCGUCGGCUACAUGGAGGACAAGGCCGCCGCCCUGUGAUCUUCCCACUACAGAGAUGGACUUACGCCCCUCCCCUGCAUCAAGCUCUUCUAUGCACCGUCUUGUCCAUGUGCUUGUCAAGUCUCGGGAGGGUUCUUCAUUUGACUUCUUUCUGAACGAAGGAACAACUUCCUUCGCUUGAUGGAUCAGUUGGAAAAGGAGUUGUUCUGGGGGGAGAGAGCACAAUUCAGCAACUUUAUGGUGCUAAAGCCACUUGUGAUGGUUCUCAUGCUAAAGAUUAGCCCUUCUUCAACUAGCUUUCCAGCUUGUGUCGCAAGCCAUGGGGGGAGGGGAAGCAAAAGCAGUAGCAGCAACAGAGUCUUAAAUGCCGCAAUGGCAACUUGUGAUAUUCCCUGUGUAGCUGACCAUAUGCUGCUCUCCUUGAGUGCCGUAGAUGAUGUGCCUCAAAUCUUAGCUUGCUUGGUUGGUGGGUUCAUCCUGACUGAUGUGGCAGGAAACCACCGAUCAUUAUAUUCAUGACAGGUUAUUGUGGUAAGGCCCAUUUACCUAUCGUCUAUCAAAGAAAAUGUACACUACUGUGGUGAACCUGUAAGCAGCAGCUCAAAUCUGUGUUUCACUAAAUUGUGUAGAUUUGUGAUGUAUGUACAUCAUGAGUGUUUUUGGCUUGGUCAAAUGUAAUAUAAAACACACAC